GCGCCCGUAGCUCAACUGGAUAGAGUAUUGGUCUCCGAAGCCAAAGGUUACAGGUUCGAAUCCCGUCGGGCGCA
rnacentral:tRNA from 2 species